CGACAGUGACAGGAUGUCAUUUCGAAUGGUUGCUUGUAUUGCCGUUGAGGCCAUAUUAAUUCUUGCGAAGAUUCGCUCCAAAGGUUACUUUCAAGCUAUUUGAUGUUCUUGAGAUCCAUUUCCCGUUCUUUUUUAUUCCUCAAUCUUAACAGUUGCUGCUCUUCCUAUUAUUGCCAGCUUUGUACAUGGUGAUGUAAAACCUGAAACCUUUUUUGCUUGGUCAGCCUGGAUCCGCUCAAGAAAAGAAGCUUUUUCUCAUUAAUUUUGUUACUUUACUUAUUGAUGGCUCAUUACUGCAGGGAGGUAAUUCUUGUUUGUAAGAAGAAAAUGGAGACUUCUCCAGAGAUGUUAGGUAGACUCUGUCCAGCUCCAUUCAAGCAUUUUCAUGAGACUGUCACUUGAAUGAAAUUUAAUGAAGAACCAAAGUACCAAAGACUUGUUUCUCUCUUUGAUGAUUUAAUCGAAGGACCUGCUUCGAGACCCAUCAGGAUCUAUGGAGCUCUAGAGGUUGGAACUAAGCGUAGAGGAAUGGCUUUAAAUCUGGAAGAAGACGAAUAACCUAUGAAAAAUGUUCGGUUGGGGAGCCCAACAACUUGGUGGGAUUCGGUUUAUAAUCCUAGGUGGCCCACAGAGCAGCGAAGUGGUCUGUUCUGGUGGCCACGUCAGCAAAAGUGGGACCCACCUGUCAUAAACGUGCUCAAGACGCCCUAAGCCGCCGAUCAGUGUCUUAUGCAGAAAGUUUACCACAGGUUUAGUCGAAAAUUGUGAAGUCGUGUUUUCUGCAAACCUAGCCCUCAAUGUGGUGGUUUCAUGCAAUUAACUAGUUCUGGUGCUUAAAGUCCCAUAAGGUCCCCGCCACCCGCCACCCCUACAUGACACAUAGCAUCAUCGGCUCUUCAUACUCCAGAUCAAUGAUUAGAUGACUUUAAGCGUCAGAUGGCUCUAAAUAGCUGGGUUAUAUGAGUACUAUUUAGCUCUAAUUUAUUUUCUUUAAAAAGACCGGAGUUCCACUUACCGUCUCUUUGUGAUUUAGGUCAAAAAGGAAACUGCCUUGUGGUUAUCGUUGUUGCGAACUUGCGUUAUCUUGGUGUAAGCUCCAAUUUUUAAUGUCGUCCACAGUAGUCAUGCCUAAAUUUUACCUGAUAUCCUGGUGAAAGCAGCUAUCCGGAACUAUACUAUUCUGUUUUUCUGUAACUAAAGCAUUUGUGCUCGUUGUUAGUGAUGAAAGGGUUUUGUUUUGACUUAUUAUGAUUUAAGCUUAUAAGUAACUCCUGUUUGUCUGGCCUAUUUCAAUUGUUAUCGAUCCUGUUCUGUAAAGAUGUUUGUCUUGCCUUUUGUAGCUACCACUUCAAUAUAGCUGAUUCAGAGCUGCAUCAGCAUAAAGAAAAAAAUGCAGUAAAGCUGGUUUGUUGAGUAGUUGUGCAGCUUCUGCAGCUAUGUGAAGGAAAAAUGGGCGAAGAACCUAUAUAUCACCUCAAUCUGCUACUGGCGACCCGUGUGUUAGACGUAGACGGCAAGCUGAACUCUUGUGCCAAUUGUAAAGAAUCAUGCUCGGCUGUUUUGGUUGGUUGCUGUCUAUCUAUGAUCCAACUUUUGAUAAAAUGGACUCCGAAAUGAGAGCGGGGGAACAUCGGUGCGUUUUAAAGUCAUGCACCUGAAAUGCGACAUCGUUUUUCCUGCCGUCUGCUAGUUGUUGUUCUGGCCUGUUCUCGUUUUGUUGCAGUAAAGAACAUCGUAAACAGAGGUCCC